rnacentral:rRNA from 1 species
CUACGGGGCGCUGCAGUGGGGAAUCUUGGACAAUGGGCGCAAGCCUGAUCCAGCCAUGCCGCGUGAGUGAUGAAGGCCUUAGGGUCGUAAAGCUCUUUCGCCAGGGAUGAUAAUGACAGUACCUGGUAAAGAAACCCCGGCUAACUCCGUGCCAGCAGCCGCGGUAAUACGGAGGGGGUUAGCGUUGUUCGGAAUUACUGGGCGUAAAGCGCGCGUAGGCGGAUCAGAAAGUUGGGGGUGAAAUCCCGGGGCUCAACCCCGGAACGGCCUCCAAAACUCCUGGUCUUGAGUUCGAGAGAGGUGAGUGGAAUUCCGAGUGUAGAGGUGAAAUUCGUAGAUAUUCGGAGGAACACCAGUGGCGAAGGCGGCUCACUGGCUCGAUACUGACGCUGAGGUGCGAAAGUGUGGGGAGCAAACAGGAUUAGAUACCCGCGUAGUC